CACGUAGGGGGCAAGCGUUGUCCGGAUUUAUUGGGCGUAAAGAGCUCGUAGGCGGCUCAGUAAGUCAGGUGUGAAACCUCCAGGCUCAACCUGGAGACGCCACCUGAUACUGCUGUGGCUAGAGUCCGGUAGGGGAGCGUGGAAUUCCUGGUGUAGCGGUGAAAUGCGCAGAUAUCAGGAGGAACACCAGCGGCGAAGGCGGUCCCCUGGGCCGGAACUGACGCUGAGGCGCGAAAGCGUGGGUAGCAAUCCGG
rnacentral:rRNA from 1 species